rnacentral:sRNA from 1 species
AUAGAGAGAUGACAUCUAAGCUUCUUUCUGACCUCUGUGGGACAGUAAUGAGCACAAGUGAUGUGGAAAAAUCAUUUGAUAAAUUGUUGAAAGAUCUACCUGAAUUAGCAUUGGAUACUCCUAGAGCACCACAGUUGGUGGGCCAGUUUAUUGCUAGAGCUGUUGGAGAUGGAAUUUUAUGUAAUACCUAUAUUGAUAGUUACAAAGGAACUGUAGAUUGUGUGCAGGCUAGAGCUGCUCUGGAUAAGGCUACCGUGCUUCUGAGUAUGUCUAAAGGUGGAAAGCGUAAAGAUAGUGUGUGGGGCUCUGGAGGUGGUCAGCAGUCUGUCAAUCACCUUGUUAAAGAGGUAAUGAUUGGGUAUUGUUUUUAACUUAAUUUAUAUGUAUUCCUCUGAGUGAAAUAAAUUGUGGCUACUAGCUGGUAUUUUUAUGGACAAAAAUUAAGUUCGGUCUUACAGCUGCAAUUGGAAAAUGAAAUAAUUUUUUAUAUGUGGCUUUAUAACCUUUUAUUAUAAAUUAUAUGAUUAAAAAAUGAGUGUUAAA